rnacentral:rRNA from 1 species
GACGAACGCUGGCGGCGUGCCUAAUACAUGCAAGUCGAACGCAGUGGGGACGGGUGAGUAACACGUGGGUAACCUCCCAUCAGAGGGGAUAACACUUGGAAACAGGUGCUAAACCGAUACUGAUGGAUGGACCCGCGGUGCAUUAGCUAGUUGUGAAGGUAGCGGCUCACCAAGGCCACGAUGCAUAGCCGGCCGACAAGGUGGAUCGGCCACACUGGGACGGGUACACGGCCCAGACUCCGACGGGCGGCAGCAUUGGGGAAUCUUCGGCAAUGGACGAAAGUCUGACCGAGCAACGCCUCGGGAGUGAAGAAGGUUUUCGGAUCGUAAAACACUGUUGUUAGAGAAUCGGUAUCUAACCAGAAAGCCACGGCUAACUACGUGCCAGCAGCCGCGGUAAUAC